UCCCCUCAACCUUGUUUCUUUUUCAUUUAACUUCUCACAAACACUCUCGUUUUCUGAAAACUUGCUAGGGUUUCCAUUCUCUCAAAACAUACUCUCUCUAAAAACAAGAUCUCAUUCUCCAUUGCUCUCGCCCAACAAUUCGAUAUCUAUUGCUUUCAGAAUCACGUUACCACUCUUGAUCGAUAUUCGUUGCCCUUCACUCUCAGAUCUGCAACUUUUAUCUCUGCGACGCUCCACUCUCUCCGAACUUAACCAUUUUCCAUUGAUUUGUGUCUUCUUUGAUCUACGUAUACCCGUUGUGUUUCUUGUUGCAUCGACGUCUAUAUCUGAUUCGCGCGAAACCGUCACUCCCAAAAUCGAUCCCUCAAUCUUCAACCACAGCUCCGGUUCACAGGGUCAAAGCUAUUCCCGACCUCGUCGUCAUUGUUGUGUUGCGCCGCUUCUUAUCUAUUUUCUCAGGCAGAUUUAAAUCAAGCAAUUUCAAUGGUUUAACAUUAUGCUUCAUCUUCUGAGCCUGCUCAGGUUUGUGGCAAGAUUGUUUACAUUCAAUAUUCUAAUAGACACGAAAUUGUCAACAACAAAGGCCCUGGAGAUAUCCCUGGAAAUGUCUUGCUGGUAACAAUUGAAGGUGUUGAAGCUGGAGAUGUGAGCAUUGAUGUUAUUAACUUGCAGUAGUUCCUCAAAACAACAAGCAUCACCAUCUUCUUCUGCUGAGGUAUCAUCUGGAUCCUUGUUCUUUUAUGUUUUUGUCUCCCCUCUAUUU